UGAACGCUAGCGGCAGGCCUAAUACAUGCAAGUCGGACGGGAUUGAGAAGCUUGCUUUUCAUGAGAGUGGCGCACGGGUGCGUAACACGUAUGUAACCUACCUUAUCCAGGGGGAUAGCCUCUCGAAAGAGAGAUUAACACCGCAUAACAUUAUUGAGCAGCAUUGUUUAAUAAUCAAAUAUUUAUAGGGAUAAGAUGGGCAUGCGGGACAUUAGCUAGUUGGCGGGGUAACGGCCCACCAAGGCGACGAUGUCUAGGGGAUCUGAGAGGAUGACCCCCCACACUGGUACUGAGACACGGACCAGACUCCUACGGGAGGCAGCAGUAAGGAAUAUUGGUCAAUGGGCGGAAGCCUGAACCAGCCAUGCCGCGUGCAGGAAGACGGCCCUACGGGUUGUAAACUGCUUUUGCAGGGGAAUAAACCCAGAUACGUGUAUCUGGCUGAAUGUACUCUGAGAAUAAGGAUCGGAUAACUCCGUGCCAGCAGCCGCGGUAAUACGGAGGAUCCAAGCGUUAUCCGGAUUUAUUGGGUUUAAAGGGUGCGUAGGCGGCCAAUUAAGUCAGGGGUGAAAGACGGUAGCUUAACUAUCGCAGUGCCUUUGAUACUGAUUGGCUUGAAUGGACUAGAGGUAGGCGGAAUGUGACAAGUAGCGGUGAAAUGCAUAGAUAUGUCACAGAAC
rnacentral:rRNA from 1 species